GAUGAACGCUAGCGGCAGGCCUAAUACAUGCAAGUCGAACGGAUAUAUGUUUUUCGGAAUAUUAUACUUAGUGGCGCACGGGUGAGUAACACGUACAUAACUUGCCCUCAAGCGGGGGAUAGCCUUGGGAAACUGAGAGUAAUACCCCAUAGAAUUAUUGGACGGCAUCGUUUGAUAAUUAAAACUACGGGUGUUUGGGGAUAGAUGUGCGUCUGGAUUAGCUAGUUGGUGAGGUAACUGCUCACCAAGGCGACGAUCAGUAGGGGGCGUGAGAGCGUGGCCCCCCACACGGGUACUGAGACACGGACCCGACUCCUACGGGAGGCAGCAGUAAGGAAUAUUGGUCAAUGGAGGGAACUCUGAACCAGCCAUGCCGCGUGAAGGAUGACGGCCCUCUGGGUUGUAAACUUCUUUUAUAUGGGACGAAAAAAGAUCUUUCUAGGUCACCUGACGGUACCAUAUGAAUAAGCACCGGCUAACUCCGUG
rnacentral:rRNA from 1 species